rnacentral:rRNA from 1 species
GGAAUAUUGGACAAUGGGCGGAAGCCUGAUCCAGCAACGCCGCGUGAGGGAUGACGGCCUUCGGGUUGUAAACCUCUUUCAGCACAGACGAAGCGAAAGUGACGGUAUGUGCAGAAGAAGCACCGGCCAACUACGUGCCAGCAGCCGCGGUAAUACGUAGGGUGCGAGCGUUGUCCGGAAUUAUUGGGCGUAAAGGGCUCGUAGGCGGUUUGUCGCGUCGGGAGUGAAAACACACAGCUUAACUGUGUGCUGGCUUUCGAUACGGGCAGACUAGAGGUAUGCAGGGGAGAACGGAAUUCCUGGUGUAGCGGUGAAAUGCGCAGAUGUCAGGAGGAACACCGGUGGCGAAGGCGGUUCUCUGGGCAUUACCUGACGCUGAGGAGCGAAAGUGUGGGGAGCGAACAGGAUUAGAUACCCUAG